rnacentral:rRNA from 1 species
GACGAACGCUGGCGGCGUGCUUAACACAUGCAAGUCGAACGGAAAGGCCCUGCUUGCAGGGUACUCGAGUGGCGAACGGGUGAGUAACACGUGGGUGAUCUGCCCUGCACUUCGGGAUAAGCCUGGGAAACUGGGUCUAAUACCGGAUAGGAGCCAUUUCUAGUGUGAUGGUUGGAAAGUUUUUUCGGUGUAGGAUGAGCUCGCGGCCUAUCAGCUUGUUGGUGGGGUAAUGGCCUACCAAGGCGGCGACGGGUAGCCGGCCUGAGAGGGUGGACGGCCACAUUGGGGCUGAGGUACGGCCCAGACUCCUACGGGAGGCAGCAGUGGGGAAUAUUGCACAAUGGGCGCAAGCCUGAUGCAGCGACGCCGCGUGGGGGAUGACGGCCUUCGGGUUGUAAACUCCUUUCGCUAGGGACGAAGCUUUUUGUGACGGUACCUAGAGAAGAAGCACCGGCUAACUACGUG